AGGGAUUCCAGGGCCGCCACUGUCUUGCUGAGGCUUUCUCCUAUCAUCUGUUGGAUGUGUCCACUCCUCCUUUCCUGCUGCCCAGAGUGGCAGCUGUCUUCCACUGGGACCACUGCACCGGCCUCUUCGCUGGCCUCCUUGUGUCUGUGUUGGUCUCUACUGACUCACCCUGUUUUCCUCUGCUUUGCAGCAAGGAUGAUUUUUCUAACUCGCUCCCCAGGGGAUGCCAGCGCUGCUGGUCUGGGCAGGGCAUUUUGAGGAGCAAGGAACUGGAGGACCCCUGCUGAUGUCCCUAGCCUCGUCUUCUGCUCCCCCCCCAACCCUGCUCCAGCCACGCUGAACUUGUGCUAGCUUCCAGAAUACGUCACAUGCUCGCUCACCACUGGGCCUUUGCACAUGCUCUGUCUCCCUAGAGCACGCUUCCCCUGGCCUAGCUGGCUCCUGCUCCUAUUCCAGCUGAGCAGUGAAGGAUCCCUGAGGUAAGGACUCCAGUUGCCCUGAACUCUGUGAACAAGGUCAGCUCCACAACUGUGUGUCCUCAGGCCACCCAAAAGUCGUGUCAGAGAGCAAGGACAUUAAAAGGAUGAGAACUGUU